UGAUGCAGCCAUGCCGCGUGUGUGAAGAAGGCCUUCGGGUUGUAAAGCACUUUCAGCGAGGAGGAAAGGUUACUGGCUAAUAUCCAGUAUGCUGUGACGUUACUCGCAGAAUAAGCACCGGCUAACUUCGUGCCAGCAGCCGCGAUAAU
rnacentral:rRNA from 1 species